rnacentral:rRNA from 1 species
GAUGAACGCUGGCGGCGUGCCUAAUACAUGCAAGUCGAGCGAACGGACGAGAAGCUUGCUUCUCUGAUGUUAGCGGCGGACGGGUGAGUAACACGUGGAUAACCUACCUCUAAGACUGAGAUAACUUCGGGAAACCGGAGCUAAUACCGGCUGAUAUUUUGAACCGCAUGGUUCCAGAGUGAAAGACGGUCUUGCUGUCAUUUAUAGAAGGAUCCCCGCUGCAUUAGCUAGUUGGUAAGGUAACGGCCUAACAAGGCAGCGAUGCAUAGCCGACCUGAGAGGUGGGUCGGCCAGCUGGGAACUGAGACACGGUCCACACUCCUGCGGUAGGCAGCAGUAGGGAAUCUUCCGCGAUGGGGGAGAGCCUGACAGAGCAAAACCGCGUGAGUGAUGAAGGACUUCGGACCGGUAAGUUCUGUUAGUAGGCGGGUACAUAUGUCUAAGUAGCUGUGCACAUCUUGACGGUACCUAAACAGAAAGCCACGGCUAACUACGUG